rnacentral:rRNA from 1 species
UACAGAGGUCUCAAGCGUUGUUCGGAUUCAUUGGGCGUAAAGGGUGCGCAGGCGGCGGGGCAAGUCGGACGUGAAAUCUCGGGGCUUAACCCCGAAACUGCGUUCGAUACUGCCCUGCUAGAGGACUGGAGAGGUGACUGGAAUUCCUGGUGUAGCAGUGAAAUGCGUAGAUAUCAGGAGGAACGCCAAUGGCGAAGGCAAGUCUCUGGACAGUUCCUGACGCUCAUGCACGAAGGCCAGGGGAGCAAACGGG